rnacentral:rRNA from 1 species
UCGGGAAUUUUGGGCAAUGGGCGAAAGCCUGACCCAGCAACGCCGCGUGAGGGAUGAAGUAUUUCGGUAUGUAAACCUCGAAAGAAUGGGAAGAAUAAAUGACGGUACCAUUUAUAAGCUCCGGCUAACUACGUGCCAGCAGCCGCGGUAAUACGUAGGGAGCAAGCGUUGUUCGGAUUUACUGGGCGUAAAGGGCGCGUAGGCGGCGCGGUAAGUCACUUGUGAAAUCUCUGAGCUUAACUCAGAACGGCCAAGUGAUACUGCUGAGCUAGAGUGCGGAAGAGGCAACCGGAAUUCUUGGUGUAGCGGUGAAAUGCGUAGAUAUCAAGAGGAACACAUGGGGCGAAGGCGGGUUGCUGGGCCGACACUGACGCUGAUGCGCGAAAGCCAGGGGAGCAAACG